rnacentral:ncRNA from 2 species
GUAGAAGGCGAGAUGGACGGUGCCCCGGCGACGGGGUGAAAAGGGAAUGCGGUGAGAGGGGACACCCUCGAUGCCGCGGCUGCCCCCGCAACUGUAAGCGGCGACGUGCCUGCCAUCGGCCACUGGAGCGAUCCGGGAAGGCGGUGGGCAUGCGAGACCCGCGAGCCAGGAGACCUGCCGUCCACCCGCAUUUCCU